rnacentral:rRNA from 1 species
CGAAAGCCUGACGGAGCAAUACCGCGUGAGGGAGGAAGGCUUUUGGGUUGUAAACCUCUUUUUUCAAGGAAGAACAAAAUGACGGUACUUUAAGAAUAAGCAUCGGCUAACUCCGUGCCAGCAGCCGCGGUAAUACGGAGGAUGCAAGCGUUAUCCGGAAUUAUUGGGCGUAAAGCGUCCGCAGGUGGCUAAUCAAGUCUGCUGUUAAAGACAGAAGCUUAACUUCUGGAGAGCGGUGGAAACUGGUAAGCUAGAGUACGGUAGGGGUUGAGGGAAUUCCCAGGGUAGCGGUGAAAUGCGUAGAUAUUGGGAAGAACACCAGUGGCGAAGGCGCUCAACUGGGCCGUAACUGACACUCAGGGACGAAAGCUAGGGGAGCG